UGAAUACGAGACGCUAAGGCGUCGAAGUAGUGUAUGUCAUACUUCCAAGAAAAGCUUGCACUGUCAUAGAUAAAAAACGCCUGUACCAUAACCGACACAGGUGGGUAGGUAGAGUAUACUAAGGGGCGCGAGAUAACUCUCUCUAAGGAACUCGGCAAAAUAACUCCGUAACUUCGGGAGAAGGAGUGCCUUAUUCGUAAGGUUGCAAUAACAAGAUCCAAGCAACUGUUUAUCAAAAACACAGGUCUCCGCUAAGUCGUAAGACGAUGUAUGGGGGCUGACGCCUGCCCAGUGCCAGAAGGUUAAAGAAGUUGGUUAGCAAUUGCGAAGCUGAUAACUGAAGCCCUGGUGAACGGCGGCCGUAACUAUAACGGUCCUAAGGUAGCGAAAUUCCUUGUCGGGUAAGUUCCGACCCGCACGAAAGGCGUAAUGAUUUGGAUACUGUCUCGGAGAGGGGCUCGGUGAAAUAGACUUGUCUGUGAAGAUGCGGACUACCUGCACCAGGACAGAAAGACCCUAUGAAGCUUUACUGUAACUUGAAAUUGAAAUUGGACUUUAUUCGCGCAGUAUAGGUGGGAGGCGUUGAUUAUAAUCUUGUGGGAUUAUUGGAGCCAUCAGUGAGAUACCACUCUUGUAAUGUCAGAUUUCUAACUUUGAAUCAUUAUCUGGUCAAAGAACAGUUUCAGGCGGGCAGUUUGACUGGGGCGGUCGCCUCCUAAACGGUAACGGAGGCGUACAAAGGUUUCCUCUGAACGGUUAGAAAUCGUAUCUAGAGUGUAAAGGCAUAAGGAAGCUUGACUGUGAGACCUACAAGUCGAGCAGGGACGAAAGUCGGUCUUAGUGAUCUGACGGUACUGAGUGGAAAGGCCGUCACUCAACGGAUAAAAGUUACUCUAGGAUAACAGGCUGAUCUCCCCCAAGAGUUCACAUCGACGGGGAGGUUUGGCACCUUGAUGUCGGCUCAUCGCAUCCUGGGGCGGUAGUACGUCCCAAGGGUUGGGCUGUUCGCCCAUGAAAGCGGUACGCGAGCUGGGUUCAGAACGUCGUGAGACAGUUCGGUCCAUAUCCGGUGUAGGCGUUAGAAUAUUGAGAGGAGCCUUCUUUAGUACGAGAGGACCGAGAAGGACAUACCUCUGGUGUACCAGUUAUCGUGCCAACGGUAAACGCUGGGUAGCUAUGUAUGGAGUGGAUAACCGCUGAAAGCAUCUAAGUGGGAAGCCCACCUCAAGAUAAGUAUUCUCACC
rnacentral:rRNA from 1 species